rnacentral:rRNA from 1 species
UGGGUGACCUGCCCUUCACUCUGGGAUAAGCCUGGGAAACUGGGUCUAAUACCGGAUAUUCACUUCUUGUUGCAUGACAGGUAGUGGAAAGCUUUUUGUGAUGGGGGAUGGGCCCGCGGCCUAUCAGCUUGUUGGUGGGGUGAUGGCUUACCAAGGCGACGACGGGUAGCCGGCCUGAGAGGGCGACCGGCCACACUGGGACUGAGACACGGCCCAGACCUCCGUACGGGAGCAG